AGCAUGUAUGAGAAAAAUAGUGAGCCAAUUGUAAGAUGCUAUAAGAUAGGCUAACACGAAUGUGUCCAUAGUACACGGAUACCCCACUCGCACUAUCAUUUUACAUGUUCAGUGGACCGUGAAAUUAGGGUCAAUACUUUAAUUUGGCGUUAAAAUUAGAAAGAUCAUAUCAUAGGGAACAUGUGUACUAAGUUUCAAGUUGAUUGGACUUCAUCUUCAUCAAAAACAACCUUGACCAAAAACUUUAACCUGAAGCGGGACGAACGGCCGCACAGACGAACGAACGAACGAACGGACGCACAGACCAGAAAACAUAAUGCCUCUCUACUAUCGUAGGUGGGGCAAUAAAAAUUUAUCGAAAAUAUAGCAAAAAAGAAAUCAUGAAAUAACUCGGUGCAAUCCCAAUCUAAGAUGCAAACACAUCAAAACAAAAACAAAAUCACACCAUAUCUCCACAUGACACAAAACAAAAACCAACUGCAAUCAACAAAUAAGACGCAAAGAGUCACAAG
rnacentral:lncRNA from 1 species